CGGCGGACGGGUGAGUAACGCGUGGGUAACCUGCCUCAUACAGGGGGAUAACAGUUAGAAAUGACUGCUAAUACCGCAUAAGCGCACGGGACUGCAUGGUCCAGUGUGAAAAACCGAGGUGGUAUGAGAUGGACCCGCGUCUGAUUAGCUGGUUGGCGGGGUAACGGCCCACCAAGGCAACGAUCAGUAGCCGGCCUGAGAGGGUGAACGGCCACAUUGGGACUGAGACACGGCCCAAACUCCUACGGGAGGCAGCAG
rnacentral:rRNA from 1 species